rnacentral:rRNA from 1 species
GAUGAACGCUGGCGGCGUGCCUAAUACAUGCAAGUCGAGCGAAGCGGGGACGGGUGAGUAACACGUGGAUAACCUCCGAUAAGGGUGGGAUAACAUCGGGAAACCGGAGCUAAACCGGAUAAUGCUAGAUGGAUCCGAGUUGCAUUCGCUAGUGGGUAAGGUAACGGCUUACCAAGGCAACGAUGCAUAGCCGACCUGAGAGGGUGACCGGCCACACUGGAACUGAGACACGGUCCAGACUCCUACGGGAGGCACCAGUAGGGAAUUUUCCGCAAUGGGCGAAAGCCUGACGCAGCAACGCCGCGUGAGUGAUGAAGGUCUUCGGUUCGUAAAAUUCUUUCAUCAGGGAAGCGGUACCAAACCAGAAAGCCCCGGCUAACUCCGUGCCAGCAGCCGCGGUAAUUC